rfam:Cavia porcellus supercont2_115 genomic scaffold, whole genome shotgun sequence.
GGGGAUUUAGCUCAGCGGCAUAAGCGCCUGCCUUGCAAGCAGGCAGUCGUGAGUUCGACCCCCGGUUCCGA